rnacentral:rRNA from 1 species
CCUACGGGUGGCAGCAGUGAGGAAUAUUGGUCAAUGGGCGAAAGCCUGAACCAGCCAAGUCGCGUGAGGGAUGAAGGUACUAUGGAUCGUAAACCUCUUUUAUAAGGGAAUAAAGUGCGGGACGUGUCCCGGUUUGUAUGUACCUUAUGAAAAAGCAUCGGCUAACUCCGUGCCAGCAGCCGCGGUAAUACGGAGGAUCCGAUCGUUAUCCGGAUUUAUUGGGUUUAAAGGGUGCGUAGGCGGCCUUUUAAGUCAGCGGUGAAAGGCUGUGGCUCAACCAUAGAAGUGCUGUUGAAACUGGGGGGCUUGAGUAUGUUUGAGGCACGCGGAAUGCGUGGUGUAGCGGUGAAAUGCUUAGAUAUCACGCAGAACCCCGAUUGCGAAGGCAGCCUGCCAGGCCAUGACUGACGCUGAUGCACGAAAGCGUGGGGAUCAAACAGGAUUAGAUACCCGAGUAGUC